UACGGAGGGGGCUAGCGUUGUUCGGAAUUACUGGGCGUAAAGCGCGCGUAGGCGGGCUGUUAAGUCGGGGGUGAAAUCCCGGGGCUCAACCCCGGAACUGCCUUCGAUACUGGCAGCCUAGAGGAAGGCAGAGGCUAGUGGAAUGGCGAGUGUAGAGGUGAAAUUCGUAGAUAUUCGCCGGAACACCAGUGGCGAAGGCGACUGGCUGGGCCUUUGCUGACGAUGAGGUGCGGAAGCGUGGGGAGCAAACAGG
rnacentral:rRNA from 1 species